GACGAACGCUGGCGGCGUGCUUAACACAUGCAAGUCGAACGGAAAGGCCCUGCUUUUGUGGGGUGCUCGAGUGGCGAACGGGUGAGUAACACGUGAGUAACCUGCCCUUGACUUUGGGAUAACUUCAGGAAACUGGGGCUAAUACCGGAUAGGAGCUCCUGCUGCAUGGUGGGGGUUGGAAAGUUUCGGCGGUUGGGGAUGGACUCGCGGCUUAUCAGCUUGUUGGUGGGGUAGUGGCUUACCAAGGCUUUGACGGGUAGCCGGCCUGAGAGGGUGACCGGCCAGACGGGGACCAGGAAAGGGCCCAGGGACGGAGGGGAGGGAGGAGUGGGGGAGAUGGGGGAAUGGGCGCGAACCAGAUCCAGCCAUGGCGGGGGAGUGAGGGAGGCGUGCGGGUUGGAAAGCGCGUGCGAGGGGGACGGUGAUGAGGGUACCCGGAGAAGAAGACCCGGCAAACUUCGUG
rnacentral:rRNA from 1 species